GACGAGGGGUCCUAGCGUUGCUCGGAAUCAUUGGGCGUAAAGCGGGUGUAGGCGGCUUUGUAAGUCAGUUGUGAAAGCCCCAGGCUCAACCUGGGAAGUGCUUCUGAUACUGCAAGGCUUGAGUAUUGGAGAGGAUAGUAGAAUUCCUGGUGUAGUGGUGAAAUACGUAGAUAUCAGGAGGAAUACCAGUGGCGAAGGCGGCUAUCUGGCCAAAUACUGACGCUGAGACCCGAAAGCGUGGGGAUCAAACAGG
rnacentral:rRNA from 1 species